rnacentral:lncRNA from 1 species
CUUCUUUAUCCUCACUGCACUCCUCACUCACUCUGUUAGUAAUAAAAUUACCUCCAGUUACCAAUCUCAUUGAAUUAUUAUGAGUUUUAUAUAAUGGCCAGAUAGAAAUCAUAUAUCUCAAUAUUUUCUGUUCUCUUUCACCAAAACAUAUUGGGAAUUGCCCCAAAGAAGGAAUCUACCUUUCCCACCAUCUGUUUCAUUUUUAACCACUCUGUUAUAGAAUAGUGAUUACAUUAUCAAUAUGAAGUAGGACCUUAUUUUAAUAUUUCUUACUGUGACAACUUCCUCAUAGGAUGGCAGACUAGUUGCACUUUUCUUUUUUGUAAUUUCCUAAGGAUUUUUUUUUUCCAUCCAGGCUAAGAAAGACCCAGGUCUGAGUUUUCAAUUUACUGGUUUAGUAGCCCACUGACUUUGGUAACAGCCAAUCAGCUGCUACCAAGCACGGAAAAUCUAAAAGCAGGCAGUUGGAAUUUCCAAUUAACUGCCUCCUUCAGAGUACCAAAGGCCAUUUUCUUUAAAGAUCUAAGAGCUGGAGUUGCUCCAAACCUACCUUCUUUCAUCCAUCCAUCCAGAAAGGCUCAGAAAUCUACCUAUGACUAGUCUCAAAAUCCAUAAAUCAUUACAGGACUACUGGGUCCCUGAGGAAACCCAUAUAUGCUAAAAAGAAAUGUCAACUACAUCCAAUGAGGUUUCAGAGAAGAAAAUAUGUCAAAGAGAACUUCAUAACUGUGUCUUCAAGGAAGUCUGGGACUUUAAAAAAUGGAGAACACCUUGUUGACAGAGUGAGCAGGAUGAGUAAAUACACAAAGCACAAAGAUGAGAACAAGUUGUGCACACUUGGGAAUUGUGCUCAAGAUGCAAAACUGGAAAAAUACAGAUACAAGGAAAUUAAUUGCCAUUAAACCCUCAGUCAAAGAGAACCACGGCUGACAUUUUGACGUACGUAUUCGGUCUGUUCCCUACAUGUUUAUAUAUUUCAUCGUAGGAUUCCUUCUGUAUACAGCUUUGGUCACUGUUCUUAUUUUUUCAUGUAAUACAAGUGUUCUCUCAGAAGUUUUCACAAUUACAUAUCUAAAAUAACCACACACAUUUUUUUUAAAGAUUCAUUUAUUUACCUGAGAAAGAGAGCACAAGCAGGGAAAGGGGCAGAGGCAGAGGGAAAAGCAGACUCCCCCCUGAGCAGGGAGCCCAAUGCGGGACUGGAUCCCAGGACCCUGGAUCAUGACCAGAGCUGAAAGCAGAUGCCUGACUGACCCCAGGCGACCCUACACACAAUGUAUUUAAGCAUUUAAGCAUUAAAACACUCAG